UUGAGAUGGGUGCUCAUCCGUGAGUUGAGGUGGGGUAUCUAGUAGCAAUCUCCCUUUCCCUUAAACUAUGUGCCCACAUAGGUCUAGCUAGUGGAUCCACCAAAGCUAAAAACAAUGGUCCUACCUUAGGCAAGUAGGAAUCCCUUAUCUGGUGAGGGUGACACCGGGAUUCCAUGAAAUUCUCACAUGGUCUAUGUAGGUUAAAGCUUAUCCCCAAAAAGAAUGUUAAUGAACUAUGGCUUCUCAAGAAUGCACUACUUAGUGUGGGUAGUAUGGGAUGCCAUCCAUGCAUUGCACAAGUAGGCUUUUGAGAGGGGUUGUGGUGUGUUCCUUUAUAAUGUUAAGUGUAAUGAAUGUGCUCUUAUGAUGAUUUUAAUGAGAUUGUUGUCUUAAUGUGUAAUGAAUGAAGGUGUUCUUAAUGAAGCUAAAGAAGAUUGUUGAUUUAUGAAUUUAAUGUAAUGAUGCAUGCUAUACUUGGAUUGUAUUAUGAGUUAGUUCCUUGUCAUGACUUAAUGAAUAUGAAUGUGCCUUGUCUACCCUGGAUUCAAAGGACUACUAAGUGUGAGUAGUAGUAUGGGAUGCUACUCAUACAUUGCACAAGUAUGACUUAGAGUUGCCC
rnacentral:lncRNA from 1 species